rnacentral:rRNA from 1 species
UACGUAGGGUGCAAGCGUUGUCCGGAAUUAUUGGGCGUAAAGGGCUCGUAGGCGGUCUGUCACGUCGGGAGUGAAAACUCAGGGCUUAACUCCGAGCCUGCUUCCGAUACGGGCUGACUAGAGGUAUGCAGGGGAGAACGGAAUUCCUGGUGUAGCGGUGAAAUGCGCAGAUAUCAGGAGGAACACCGGUGGCGAAGGCGGUUCUCUGGGCAUUACCUGACGCUGAGGAGCGAAAGCGUGGGGAGCAAACAGG